GACGAACGCUGGCGGCGUGCUUAACACAUGCAAGUCGAACGGACAGGCCCUGCUGUUGUGGGGUGCUCGAGUGGCGAACGGGUGAGUUACCCGUUUGUAACCUGUCGUCGACUUUGGGAUAACUUCAGGAAACUGGGGCUAAUACCGGAUAGGAGCUCCUGCUGAAUGGUGGGGCUUGGAAAGUUUCGGCGGUUGGGGAUGGACUCGCGGCUUAUGAGCUUGUUGGUGGGGUAGUGGCUUACCAAGGCUUUGACGGGUAGCCGGCCUGAGAGGGUGACCGGCCACAUUGGGACUGAGAUACGGCCCAGACUCCUACGGUAGGCAGCGGUGGGGAAUAGUGCACAAUGGGCUGAAGCCUGAUGCAGCAACGCCGCGUGCGGGAUGACGUCCUUCGGGUUGUAAACCGCUUUCGCCUGUGACGAAGCGUGAGUGACGGUAAUAGGUAAAGAAGCACCGGCUAACUACGUG
rnacentral:rRNA from 1 species